rnacentral:hammerhead_ribozyme from 1 species
AUCCAGCUGACGAGUCCCAAGUAGGACGAAACGCGCGGCCUGGAA